GUUCUGCAUUCACCUGUUUGUCUUGUUCCUGUCUUCUGGUAGCUGGGAAUGGCAAACCAAGUAAUGAUGGAUUGGAGAGUGAUGAAAAGAUGAAGCUUCUGAAAAUGUGUGAGCAUCGAAGGACUUGCAGGCGGCAGCUGAGAGAGCGUUCACAAACAGCUGGUCACCACGAAGGCAUGCCGAGUGAUGAAGAACUGGCUCUGACAGAGGUGACUGAAUUCCAGAAGAGCAAAGGUUGGUCAGGAUAUGAGAGCAAAAUUCCUCCCGUAUUGAGAAGGAUUUUCAAGGGAGAGUGAAGAAAUACUCCUUUUGAAUGGUAUAUCGUUUAUUUUCUACAGCACAGAAUUGAUGCAUUUAAACAAUUCUGACCAAUGCCUUAGGAAGAAUAGAUAAGACCGUAGGCUUCUUUAGUUUAAUCAGUUUUUUGUCCAAAGUUGGAAUGUAUUUCAAAUUGAGAUUUGAACUGCCUUAGUGAGCAGGUCACGAGGAGCUGGGAGAGGCACGAUGCGUAUUUGCUGAAUAACAGAAGGAGGAUUUUCCUGUCUGAGCUUUUAAGAGACAUACAAAAUAUGAAAUGUAAUGGGUAUUUAAAUCUGUGCAGUUGUUCAAAACUGCAGAAGUCUUUUUGUGGUCUUCUGUAUCUCUUUUUUCCUGAAAAAGUGCUGGUUUUAAAACCCAUUUCAGUGUAAGAGGUGUGAAAGAUGAAGCACAAAUGCUGUUAUCAUAAAGAUAUUUCUUCUGUUCUGUAGGUGCAUGAACUGUUCAGCUUAUGCCUCAAUAAAUUCUGUGAUUGUUUCUUCUUAUUCCUAUUGAACUGUUCAGCUUAUGCCUCAAUAAAUUCUGUGAUUGUUUCUUCUUAUUCCUAUUGAAUAUUAUCCAUAGAUAACGUUUUAGAGGAGAGUAAGAAAAUCUUUGAAGAUGUCCAUGCAGAUUGUUGUGACAUCAGAAAAAUCCUGUUGAAAUUCCAGGAGUGGAAAGAGAAGUUUCCCGACUCUUACUGAUGCUUACAUCGGUUUUUGCCUGCCUAAGCUUUUAAAUCCAUUAGUCAGAGUUCAGUUAAUAAACUGGAGUCCCCUUGAGGUAGGUGCAUCACCAGACUUUAUUUUUGUGAAAAAAAUAUUCACUGUAACGUACACUUAGCCCAGUUCUGGUUUUAUUCUCAUGCAAAUCUGAGAGUUUAUCCAGCAUAAAGUAGGUGAAACUAAGUUGAUGUUUAGGCCCUUAGUAUGAAAAGAAAUAAUAACAAACGUUUAUGCAGUCGCCACACUUGACUUCAGGAAGAAGCUUUAGAUAAGAUUCUGUUUGUAUAGUAGCUGUGGUGUUUUGUUGUGGUUUUUUUAAUAGAACCUCAUAGCUGGAAAAUAGAUUAAUCUCGUUAUCCAAGAGGAUUUUAUUUAAAAAAAAAAAAAAAAGAAAGAAAGAUGGUUAAAGCUGAGACUUGCUCACAGGUCUGUAAUGCAGUCGUUAUCUUAGUGUCUAUUAUAUACAGUGGCACCUGCAUUCAGCUGAAUUAGCAUUUUGCUUUUCCACAUGAACAAAAUAACUGCCUAAAAUUGUUGUAAGUGGAAGGUGAGAUCCUUUUCUUGUGAGGAUGUGUUAAUAUUUUUCCUUUUUUCUUUUUUUGACAGAAUUUGAUUAACACGGUUGUCCUGAGGAUGAAGCAGU
rnacentral:lncRNA from 7 species